ACGCUGGCGGCGCGCCUAACACAUGCAAGUCGAACGGAGCUUAGAGAGCUUGCUUUUUAAGCUUAGUGGCGGACGGGUGAGUAACGCGUGAGCAAUCUGCCUUUAAGAGGGGGAUAACAGUCGGAAACGGCUGCUAAUACCGCAUAAAGCAUUAAAUUCGCAUGUUUUUGAUGCCAAAGGAGCAAUCCGCUUUUAGAUGAGCUCGCGUCUGAUUAGCUGGUUGGCGGGGUAACGGCCCACCAAGGCGACGAUCAGUAGCCGGACUGAGAGGUUGAACGGCCACAUUGGGACUGAGACACGGCCCAGACUCCUACGGGAGGCAGCAGUGGGGAAUAUUGCGCAAUGGGGGAAACCCUGAUGCAGCGACGCCGCGUGGAGGAAGAAGGUCUUCGGAUUGUAAACUCCUGUUGUUGAGGAAGAUAAUGACGGUACUCAACAAGGAAGUGACGGCUAACUACGUG
rnacentral:rRNA from 1 species